rnacentral:rRNA from 1 species
CAGCCGUAAACUAUGCGCGUUAGGUGUAUCGGUGACCACGAGUUACCGAGGUGCCGAAGGGAAACCGUGAAACGUGCCGCCUGGGAAGUACGGUCGCAAGGCUGAAACUUAAAGGAAUUGGCGGGGGAGGCACCACAACGGGUGGAGCCUGCGGUUUAAUUGGACUCAACGCCGGGAAGCUCACCGGAUAAGACAGCGGAAUGAUUGCCGGGCUGAAGACUCUGCAUGACUAGCUGAGAGGAGGUGCAUGGCGUAGACGUCU